CCUACGGGUUGCAGCAGUGGGGAAUAUUGCACAAUGGGCGCAAGCCUGAUGCAGCCAUGCCGCGUGUAUGAAGAAGGCCUUCGGGUUGUAAAGUACUUUCAGCGGGGAGGAAGGUGUUGUGGUUAAUAACCACAGCAAUUGACGUUCCCCGCAGAAGAAGCACCGGUUAACUCCGUGCCAGCAGCCGCGGUAAUACGGAGGGUGCAAGCGUUAAUCGGAAUUACUGGGCGUAAAGCGCACGCAGGCGGUCUGUCAAGUCGGAUGUGAAAUCCCCGGGCUCAACCUGGGAACUGCAUUCGAAACUGGCAGGCUAGAGUCUUGUAGAGGGGGGUAGAAUUCCAGGUGUAGCGGUGAAAUGCGUAGAGAUCUGGAGGAAUACCGGUGGCGAAGGCGGCCCCCUGGACAAAGACUGACGCUCGGGUGCGAAAGCGUGGGGAGCAAACAGGAUUAGAUACCCCGGUAGUC
rnacentral:rRNA from 1 species